rnacentral:lncRNA from 1 species
GGCACUACAAGUGACAUGCCACUGGGCAGCCUCUCAACUCAGGAGAUACAGUGUGGAAGAUCUUAUUGAAACCACCUUUGCAAAAAUUAUAACUGAGAAAACUAUGACAAUGAAAGAGAUCUACCUGAUUCCAUCUUGCUUCUAACCUCUACGCUCUCCUAAUUUAUACCUGGGUUUAGGCAGAACUAUUUUUUGGAGGAACUUAGUUUAUAGUUUAACUUUGGAACAAAGAUGAUCACAGCCUCAUCCCAAAACAAACUCCCUUCCUGCCUGGAGGCUAGAUUGCCUUUGUGGGACUAACAAAUUAGCUACAAGAUUAGAGAUUAUGAUUUAGGAGUCAUGCAUCUGGAGGCUACAAGAUGCUGAACCUCCCCAAAUUGCUUCUGGGGAUAACAUUACUUUUGUAAAACCUGAGAUCAGUGCUUGAGAUAUUUUACAGACACUGUACUUGAUGGCUUAUUUGGUCUUGUGGCCCCCACCCAGGAAUUGACUCAGUGCAAGAGGACAGCUGGGACUCCCAAUGAUUUCAUCUCUCACCGCACCAGUCAGCACUCCCCACUGUCCAACCCCUGCCACCAAAUUAUCCUUGAAAACCUCGAUCCCCAGGUUUUCAGGGAGACUGAUUUACGUAAUAAUAAAGCUCUGGUCUCCUGCACAGCUGGCUCUGUAUGAAUUAAACUCUUUAUUACAAUUCCCCUGUCUUGAUAAAUCGGCUCUGUCUAGGCAGAGGGCAAGGAAGACCCCUUGGGCAGUUACAUUAUCUCUUUUCUUCUUAGAACAUAAGUCUUUCUCCAUUGUAUUGAAAGGUCAUUAAGAGUCUGUUCAAAUAACUCAUAUGUGAAAUAUGACAAGAAUUCCAUACUAAUAUAAUGUUAUCCAGUAAUAUUUACAGCAAAGUUACUAUUUAUGCAGUGUUUUGC